rnacentral:rRNA from 1 species
AUCUUCCACAAUGGACGAAAGUCUGAUGGAGCAACGCCGCGUGAGCGAUGAAGGCCUUCGGGUCGUAAAGCUCUGUUGUUAGGGAAGAACCAGUACCGUUCGAAUAGGGCGGUACCUUGACGGUACCUAACCAGAAAGCCACGGCUAACUACGUGCCAGCAGCCGCGGUAAUACGUAGGUGGCAAGCGUUGUCCGGAAUUAUUGGGCGUAAAGCGCGCGCAGGCGGUUCUUUAAGUCUGAUGUGAAAGCCCUCGGCUCAACCGAGGAGGGUCAUUGGAAACUGGGGGACUUGAGUGCAGAAGAGAAGAGCGGAAUUCCACGUGUAGCGGUGAAAUGCGUAGAGAUGUGGAGGAACACCAGUGGCGAAGGCGGCUCUUUGGUCUGUAACUGACGCUGAGGCGCGAAAGCGUGGGGAGCAAACAGG